AAAAAAAAAAAGUUUAACUUACCAGUCAGACUCCUGAAGCACAAACAGAACAAGAGAAACUUGUGAACCAUUUUCUUCAGUGGUUCAGUGUGUGAGAAGAACUGUUAAAGUGUUGUGUGAAUCCUCCCCUGACUAUGUUCGACCCUCCUAGUUCACAUCCUGCAUUUGCACAUGAUAUAAUGUUAUAGUUAAUCUAACCCUUAUUAAGAUUUUUACUGGUUUUUAUGGAUACAAAUAUUCUUCAUUUUUAUCAAAAAGUAAAGGGUUCAUAUUAGAAGGGUUCAUGCCACAGUGACAGAUUUUGUCUUCCCUUAUCUGACUGUAAAAUGACUAAAAGUAGAAGAAUAUUGUGUGUGAAUUAUAACUGAACUACAUUUCAUGGUGAACACAAGGAUUUUAAAAUUAUGUCAAUUUAUUCUAAAUUUAAGUGAAUUGAAAAACCAGAAUACAAAUUUAUAAUAAUGUUCUGAUCCCAAAGUACUGGAUUUACCAAGCUUUAUCUUCUGAGUCAAGAAGAAACCAUGCAGCGGUUAGUUUUCAGUCUCCAGACAUAAGUCAGUGACCCUGGGCAUUCAGAGACAACUUUCUGUUGCUGUGAUUUACUAUCACAAGAAAGUAGCUACCGAUCUGCAUGAGAAUAAAACCCCAACAUACAGUGCAACAUAUUUAACCACUAAUCAGAACUGAAUUGAUAUUAAAAUCAAACGAUGGAGUGCUGCUAAUGAGAUUUCUCAUAGUUAGACUGAGA